rnacentral:rRNA from 1 species
UACGGAAUGUGCAAACGUUAUUCGGAAUCACUGGGCUUAAAGAGUCCGUAGGUGGCCUGUUAAGUCAGGGGUGAAAGACGGUAGCUUAACUAUCGCAGUGCCUUUGAUACUGACGGGCUUGAAUACACUAGAGGUAGGCGGAAUGUGACAAGUAGCGGUGAAAUGCAUAGAUAUGUCACAGAACACCAAUUGCGAAGGCAGCUUACUAUGGUGUCAUUGACACUGAGGCACGAAAGCGUGGGGAUCAAACAGG